rnacentral:misc_RNA from 1 species
GGAUUAGAUGCUUCUUGAAAGAUGCAGACAGCAAGCAAGAUCAAGAUGAACGCGUUCGCAACUGGGUAGCUGAAAUCAGAGAUAUUGCAUAUGAAGCAGAGGAUGUCAUCGACACCUUUCUUCUUCUCAGAGCUGAAACAGGCUCAAGAAAAAGGGUAUGUGGACUCAUCAAGAAGAUUACCUCCAUGUUCACUAAGGUUCCUAAUCUCCAUGAAAUUGGAACCCAGAUCAAAUCCAUCCAAGCUAAGAUUGUGAGUGUCUCUGCUAAUACGCAGAAGUUGGGCAUCAAACUUGAUGCAGAAGGAGAGGGGUCUAAAUCUAGAAGUGAAAUGCAAACGCGAUUGAGAAGAUCAUACCCACAUGAUCAGGAAGAUGAUGUUAUCAGCUUGGAGGCAACCAUCAGAGAUGUUAAAUCUCAACUGUUGAUGAUGGAAGAGCAAGGCCUAGUUGUUGCUUUGGUGGGAAUGGGAGGGCUAGGUAAAACCACACUCGCCAAGAAAAUAUACAAUGACAUUCAUGUGAGGCAGCAUUUUGAUUGUCAUUCUUGGUCUUUCUUAUCUCAGCAGUUCUCCACAAGGGAUGUUUUGGUUGGUAUCCUGAAGAAAGUUGCAUCUAAGCAGGACAAAUCUGAGUUGGUAAAACCGGAAGAGGAUCAAUCGACGUUGGAGAGGGUAGAAGCCAAGUUUAAUUCAACAGUGGAAGCGAUGAGAGAAGAAGAACUAGUUGAAACG